GGAAACUAGGCGGCAGCGGCGGGGGGAGUGCGGAGGGGGGAAGCGUGGUCCGGAGUGAUUGGGCGUAAAGAGCGUGUAGGCGGCCAUGCAGGUCAGCUGUGAAAACUCGGGGCUCAACCUCGAGACGUCGGUGGAAACCGCAUGGCUAGAGUCCGGAAGAGGAGAGUGGAAUUCCCGGUGUAGCGGUGAAAUGCGCAGAUAUCGGGAAGAACACCUAUGGCGAAGGCAGCUCUCUGGGACGGUACUGACGCUGAGACGCGAAAGCGUGGGGAGCGAACAGGAUUAGAUACCCUUGUAGUC
rnacentral:rRNA from 1 species